AUUGAACGCUGGCGGCAGGCUUAACACAUGCAAGUCGAGCGGGGGAAGGUAGCUUGCUACCGGACCUAGCGGCGGACGGGUGAGUAAUGCUUAGGAAUCUGCCUAUUAGUGGGGGACAACGUCUCGAAAGGGAUGCUAAUACCGCAUACGUCCUACGGGAGAAAGCAGGGGAUCUUCGGACCUUGCGCUAAUAGAUGAGCCUAAGUCGGAUUAGCUAGUUGGUGGGGUAAAGGCCUACCAAGGCGACGAUCUGUAGCGGGUCUGAGAGGAUGAUCCGCCACACUGGGACUGAGACACGGCCCAGACUCCUACGGGAGGCAGCAGUGGGGAAUAUUGGACAAUGGGGGGAACCCUGAUCCAGCCAUGCCGCGUGUGUGAAGAAGGCCUUAUGGUUGUAAAGCACUUUAAGCGAGGAGGAGGCUACUCUAGUUAAUACCUGGGGAUAGUGGACGUUACUCGCAGAAUAAGCACCGGCUAACUCUGUGCCAGCCGCCGCAGUAA
rnacentral:rRNA from 1 species